UACGUAGGUGGCAAGCGUUGUCCGGAUUUAUUGGGUUUAAAGGGUGCGUAGGUGGCCCUGUAAGUCAGUGGUGAAAUAUCUCAGCUUAACUGAGAGGGUGCCAUUGAUACUGCAGGGGCUUGAGUACAGAUGAGGUAGGCGGAAUUGACGGUGUAGCGGUGAAAUGCAUAGAUAUCAUCAAGAACACCGAUAGCGAAGGCAGCUUACCAAGCUGUAACUGACACUGAAGGCACGGAAAAGAUGUGGGGGAUCAAAACCAGG
rnacentral:rRNA from 1 species